rnacentral:rRNA from 1 species
UAGGUCGACCCGCUGAAUUUAAGCAUAUCACUAAGCGGAGGAAAAGAAACUAACAAGGAUUCCCUUAGUAACUGCGAGUGAACAGGGAUUAGCCCAGCACCGAAGCCUGUGGUUAUUUGACUGCAAGGCAAUGUGGUGUUUAGGUUUGUUCUUGGCACUACUGCUCUGCCCCAAGUCCAGCAAUGAGUACGGCAUACCGUUCUGGCCCAAAGAGGGUGAAAGGCCCGUGGGGGUAGGGACCAAGCAUGACAGUUUUGUCCAGAGCUUACCUUGGAGUCGGGUUGUUUGAGAAUGCAGCCCAAAGUGGGUGGUAAACUCCAUCCAAGGCUAAAUACUUGCACGAGUCCGAUAGUAAACAAGUACCGUGAGGGAAAGUUGAAAAGUACUUUGAAGAGAGAGUAAACAGUGCGUGAAACCGCUCAGAGGUAAACGGGUGGAGUUGAACUGCGAUCCUUGGGAAUUCAGCUGAUGAGCAUGAUUUGUGCUUGGGCAUAUUGGCCGCCCUUCAUUGUCUGCUUAACUGCGGGUGCCUGCCUGUCCUGGGUAUGUGUGGUGCGCUUAUCAUGUGCCGCACGCAUUGGAGGUUGUAUGGGUCUGCUUGUCAGUGCACUUUCUCAGGGUGUUCACCACGACCGGCACUGCUGUCUGUCUGCUGUGGUCAAACUAAUCAGGUCUGAUUAACGUUGGGCUUGGUUGGGUUGGCAGGUGACCACUGGUUCACUCUGUGGGCCAUGAGUGUUACUAGCUGGCUACAGUGGAUCUGUGCAGUGUGUCGGAGAUGGCGGCUUGGCAUGUACGCUCUGUCCUCAGGCGUGGUUGAGUCUGGUCAGCUUGUUGCUAGCUUCGGCUGGUCGGUUGGUGGCUUGAUCAUGUUCAGUUGGCGGCAGUGUGUGUGUCCUAGUUUGGGCCAAUAGUCUGUGGUGUUGUGGUAGACUAUCCACCUGACCCGUCUUGAAACACGGACCAAGGAGUUUAACAUGUGCGCGAGUCAUUGGGCGUUACGAAACCCAAAGGCGUAGUGAAGGUAAAGGUUCGGCUUGUCCGAGCUAAGGUGAGAUCCUGUUGUUUUGCCCAUUAACUCCAAGAUGCGAGCAGCAGGCGACAUCACCGGCCCGUCCCAUGACGUAGACAUGUGGCCUUGUGCUAUGUGCACCGUCGGGGCGGAGCAAGAGCGUACAUGUUGAGACCCGAAAGAUGGUGAACUAUGCUUGCGAAGGUUGAAGCCAGAGGAAACUCUGGUGGAGGACCGUAGCGAUUCUGACGUGCAAAUCGAUCUGACGUGCAAAUCGAUCGUAUAACGUGGGUAUAGGGGCGAAAGACUAAUCGAACCAUCUAGUAGCUGGUUCCCUCCGAAGUUUCCCUCAGGAUAGC